rnacentral:tRNA from 1 species
CGGAGCAUAGCGCAGCGGCUAGCGCAAUUGGUUUGGGACCAAUGGGUCGGGGGUUCAAAUCCCUCUGCUCCGA